rnacentral:rRNA from 1 species
UGAUCAUGGCUCAGAUUGAACGCUGGCGGCAGGCCUAACACAUGCAAGUCGAACGGUAACAGGAAGCAGCUUGCUGCUUCGCUGACGAGUGGCGGACGGGUGAGUAAUGUCUGGGAAACUGCCUGAUGGAGGGGGAUAACUACUGGAAACGGUGGCUAAUACCGCAUAACGUCGCAAGACCAAAGAGGGGGACCUUCGGGCCUCUUGCCAUCAGAUGUGCCCAGAUGGGAUUAGCUAGUUGGUGAGGUAACGGCUCACCAAGGCGACGAUCCCUAGCUGGUCUGAGAGGAUGACCAGCCACACUGGAACUGAGACACGGUCCAGACUCCUACGGGAGGCAGCAGUGGGGAAUAUUGCACAAUGGGCGCAAGCCUGAUGCAGCCAUGCCGCGUGUAUGAAGAAGGCCUUCGGGUUGUAAAGUACUUUCAGCGGGGAGGAAGGUGUUGUGGUUAAUAACCGCAGCAAUUGACGUUACCCGCAGAAGAAGCACCGGCUAACUCCGUGCCAGCAGCCGCGGUAAUACGGAGGGUGCAAGCGUUAAUCGGAAUUACUGGGCGUAAAGCGCACGCAGGCGGUCUGUCAAGUCGGAUGUGAAAUCCCCGGGCUCAACCUGGGAACUGCAUUCGAAACUGGCAGGCUUGAGUCUUGUAGAGGGGGGUAGAAUUCCAGGUGUAGCGGUGAAAUGCGUAGAGAUCUGGAGGAAUACCGGUGGCGAAGGCGGCCCCCUGGACAAAGACUGACGCUCAGGUGCGAAAGCGUGGGGAGCAAACAGGAUUAGAUACCCUGGUAGUCCACGCCGUAAACGAUGUCUACUUGGAGGUUGUGCCCUUGAGGCGUGGCUUCCGGAGCUAACGCGUUAAGUAGACCGCCUGGGGAGUACGGCCGCAAGGUUAAAACUCAAAUGAAUUGACGGGGGCCCGCACAAGCGGUGGAGCAUGUGGUUUAAUUCGAUGCAACGCGAAGAACCUUACCUGGUCUUGACAUCCACGGAAGUUUUCAGAGAUGAGAAUGUGCCUUCGGGAACUGUGAGACAGGUGCUGCAUGGCUGUCGUCAGCUCGUGUUGUGAAAUGUUGGGUUAAGUCCCGCAACGAGCGCAACCCUUAUCCUUUGUUGCCAGCGAUUAGGUCGGGAACUCAAAGGAGACUGCCAGUGAUAAACUGGAGGAAGGUGGGGAUGACGUCAAGUCAUCAUGGCCCUUACGACCAGGGCUACACACGUGCUACAAUGGCGCAUACAAAGAGAAGCGACCUCGCGAGAGCAAGCGGACCUCAUAAAGUGCGUCGUAGUCCGGAUUGGAGUCUGCAACUCGACUCCAUGAAGUCGGAAUCGCUAGUAAUCGUGGAUCAGAAUGCCACGGUGAAUACGUUCCCGGGCCUUGUACACACCGCCCGUCACACCAUGGGAGUGGGUUGCAAAAGAAGUAGGUAGCUUAACCUUCGGGAGGGCGCUUACCACUUUGUGAUUCAUGACUGGGGUGAAGUCGUAACAAGGUAACCGUAGGGGAACCUGCGGUUGGAUCACCUCCUUACCUUAAAGAA